GAUGACUCAUAAAAUGAAAUGCAUAGAAUUUGACAAAAUAUGCUGGAAGGAGCUUAGAGUUUUUAAGGAAUAAAGAGAAAAAUUUGCCUUAAAAUGUAUAAAAAUGAUGCAUUCUUUAACGUCAGACCUCAAGGAAUAAGGUUAUAUAAUGAGAGGUGGGUAGAGAUACUCUUGGAUUGUGAGGGGGGCAGAACAUUUUUGUUCUAAGGGGCAGACAUAUUUCAUUUACAGCAAGAAGAUGAAGGAAUCUCUACAGAAAUAUGUACAGAUAUAGAGGAGUUUCAAGAUUAAAAAUAUGGUUGACUGAGGACCCGGAAAAAUAUGUUUGAUAUGGAAGAAAUGGAGUUGAUGUGGUCAUAUUUGGGAACCGUACAAAGCAAUGUGCGGAGAGCCGUACAUCGUCUGUGACAUUUUCCAGAGCGCCAUGCCUCAUACACCCUACGCUCUCUUCACCGCAGAGGAUCCUCCGCCAGGGCAUGUGUUGAGGACAUUUCAGAG
rnacentral:lncRNA from 1 species